CUGGCUUUGUACGUAUCAGUUCAAGCUUGAAUUUGACCUGUCAGCUUCCUCUAUACAGAAUGUUAGCCACUUUGACCUAAACCUGCUGAUUUAAUUCUUAGCUCUUGCCUACCUGCACAUGUUGGAUUAUCUUUUAGUUAGAAAAAGAAACAGGAAAUCACAUACUCAUGUAAACUAUGUAAUUGAGCACAUGCAAUGCUAUAGAGUGAGGAGAGGGAGGACAGUGGCUUUUUCUCCUCAUUUUCUGUUCCUAGACCCCACAACAGAUGAUCUCAUCAUACAGGUCUUCUACUCCUUAAGAUAGACAAGAUUGAUGAAAGACUGGAAAUGACUUUGCCUGGACCAUGAUUCAGCGACACUGUCCCUGUGGCAAGACUAUUGGCCAGGCUCAAACGCAGUGGCUGAUCCUCACUGACUCCUCUUCCUAAGGUUGUUGUACUAGGAGCAUCUCCUAACACUACACGGACACAAUUCAAUGACAAAAAUCAGAGAAGGUCUACAGACUGUACAAGAAACAUGGAAUCAGCAUCUCUAUCUGAUGAAGGCCUUAGGAAUCUUCCACUCAUGGAGGAAGGUGAAGGGGAGGCAGGAAAACAAAACAAAACUUCUGGAAUGCCUCUUCAUCUGUACUGUAUCCUUGACAGAAUUCCUAUUGAGUGGUUUUCAUAUUUAACAACAGAUCCAAUUUUGUCAAAUAAAUUCUUACAUGGAACUCCAAUCCGUUGAAUUAGAAGAAAAGUUAGUAUAAGUUAUUUCAAGUUUAAUAGUUUUAGUUGUUAAUUUAUUUCUUAAUUUUGUCUUUCAGGGCACAGUGUUGAGAAAUCAUUUACACAGACAAAAAAUUGCAACUGAUUUUUAACUAUUUCUGCGUGCUAUCUUCCUACAUUUUCCAAUUAAAUUCUGAUAGUUCGACAAGAACUGAUUUCUAUUUUUCAAAAUUAUAUCACUAACUUACCAAUAUUCAACUAGUGCUUGCUUUCAAUGAUUGGUUAAUAUUGGCUCUGAAAACGUUCCUUUGCCAACAUAAAUGUUCAUUAAGAAUUUUUCAAAAAUGUCAAAAAAAUACCACCUCAGUUUCAACUAUGAAGUAACAAUUUAAUAUUUCAAAACAGUCAUAUUUAUUUUUCCUUGCUGUUAAAAUCAAACUUUAGCUUCAAUUUUAAGGCGGGCAUUCUAUAUACAUUUAAAAGUAGGUAAUUUUGUGAGUGUGAAUUGGACUUACUUAGAUUACUAAAAUUAGCAGCAAAAUAUAUAACCUGUUUCCACAACAUCUGGAGUUUAAGUAUUAACACUGUAAAAUAUUAUCUGAAUUUCUCAUAUUUUAAACUAUCAUAUGGACAAUAGAACAGAUUCCACUAUAAAAAUAAUUUUUAAAUCACUUCAAGUAGGAUUACAUGUAACUCUGAAUGAAAUGCAGUUAAAACAUAAAACAUAAUAAAAAUAUAACUAGUGUAGUGUU